CUCCUGGAAUGGGCACUGGUCCUCUUCAUCAUCUCAGGGAUAGAUUUUAAAAUAGAGCAUGCUUAAUAUACUUCAGAUGUCUGCAAGGGGAACAGCAGCAAAUACCACAGUCCCAUGACAGCAAAGCUCCCUUUGGAUGACAUAGAUUUAUUACUUAGUAGUAUAUUAUGUAUUGGCUGUCCCACAUUUUGAAAUUUAAUGGACUCGUGGUGAUCAGAAUAAAAGAAGCCUUCGAUGUGAGGCCCAGGCAUUGAGUACCAUGUGUGCGAUUCACAAGCCUUGGCAUCUGAACAAUUUUUUGGAAGGAUCCAUCAGGACAACACGUCGGGGGUGUACUAGUGAAGUGAUUUUCCAAAUGUGCUACUCAGACCUGUAGCAUCAGCAUCACCGGAUAAUUUGUUAGAAAUUCCAACUGUUAGGCCCCACUUUAGACCAACUGAAUGUGAAACUCUGGGAGUACGUGGGGCCCAGCAAUUUGUGUUUUUACAAGACUUACCAGGUGAUUCUGAGAACCACUGUGCUAGUGAAUUGUUCCUGUCUGUGGCCACGUAGAAUAAGAAAACCAUAGGGUUGGAAAAUGGGGAAACUGGUGAGUGUUCGCUUAUGAGGAAAUGAAGAAUAGAUAGAAAAGAAUUAGUUAACUUUUGGAAUUCAAAAGAGAAGCAGUUUGUAAAAGCCAGGAAUUUGAUUUGAAGGACUAAUUGCUUGCAGAAUCUUUGCUUUCUCAGAGAGGGGCAAUCCAGAUCACUAGGUUACCGUGAAAUAUGUUGGUAUGGCUCUAAAAUUCUAGAAUAAUCUCUCUAGUGAGAAAAGGCAUACCUUUCCAUAUUAGGACAAAACUUCAAAUCAGGUUUGUAAAAUCCUAUAAGAUUAUUGUAUCCCAUUGCCAUGGCCAACUUGUUUGUCUCUGGAGAUCCCAGUUUCUACAUCUGAAAACCAUAUGCAUUCCUGCUCACCAGGAAUUAUCUCGCUGAAUGAAGCAAGAGAUUCAGGAUGUGUAAGAGAAUUUAUGAAGCAUUUGGAUUACCAAGAAAUGUGAAGUAUAAAGAUCAAGAAUGAUUAUUACAAACACUGAUGGUAAAGAGGUGUUUCGAAGUCGAUGCAAAAAAUGAGUUGCUUAUUUCAGUCUCUCUUUGAUAUAUCUGCCUUUUUAGUGCUGACUCUAUCAUGUAUUCACUAUUUGAUUUUCAGUGAAUCACAUUUUUUAAAGCUUUUAAUCUGUUUCCUCAAAAAAUAUAUUUUUUAAAAAUAUUUACUCAGGAUUGUUGUGAGAAUAAAAUUGAUUCGAUUGAUAUUUCAAAAAAGAAAUAUAUUUUUAAAAAAUAAAGCAAUACCAUUUUUGGAUAUGCUA
ensembl:lncRNA VIM-AS1 VIM antisense RNA 1